rnacentral:lncRNA from 1 species
CGCCAGACGCGCGUUUCGUCUACAUAAGACUCAUCAGUGACGCUCAUAUCAAAAUAUUCAUAAAGCCAAACAAGUACAAAGUUGAAGAGCAUUGAGGAUCCAAAAUUCCAAAAAGUUGUGCCAAAUACGGCUAAGGUAAUCUAUGCCUGGGAUAAGAAAAUCCUUAGUUUUUCGAAAAUUCAAAGUUUUGUAACUGGAAAUUUAUUAAAAUGACCA